ACCCCUGAAUCAGCGCUGUAGCUCCGGUAACUUGUCUACGUUUCCUCCAAAGGAGCACGCCAAACAAAGCCGUUGCUUUAUGAUAAUCAGUUUAGGUGAACUUUUCAAUUCAAUUGAUCAGUAUUAAACCUUCGCAACGGAGUUCGCAGGAUUCCAGAUGUCAAUGUGAGGAACGACUGGAGAAAAGGAUGAUGACCUUUUAUCCGCGAACCAAACAAUCCGUCCCGCCAUUCUCUUGUAGUAGUACAGAACAUUCCCAACAUG
rnacentral:sRNA from 1 species